CUUUAACAAUGGCCAUGCUGGAGCAGGGAGCUGGACUAGAUGACCUCCAGGUCCUUUCCAGCCCUGGAUUGCUGUGCUCUUUCAAGGUAUCCUCUGAAGCUGCAUCUAGUGCCAGGUAAAGGAGCAAAACACACUAGAGUUCUCAGCUGUCAAUAAUCUUAAGUUCAGCAAGGAUCUCAAGAUGACCAGAAAAGGCGGAUGGUGGAAAAAGGAUCUGGCAUCCUUUGAGGCUGGGCAAGAUGGCUCAACAGGUAAAGACUCUGAACUUGUCAGCUGGAGAACUAACAGCCUGGAUUCAAGACCCAAGCUCCGUUCAAUGAGGAAAAAGAGGGAUUGGCUGUUUUCUCCUGAUUAAUCCAAGCAUUGUGAGAAGAUCAGGUGGCGGUUCAGUCAUUUCUACAAAACCUCAAAGAGACCUGUUAUCAAAUCUCCCCCAUUGGUCUGCCUCACACAGUCUUGCAGUGAGGGGUAGUUUAUAAACUUGUGGAAAGGACGAUAUGAGAUUCUUAAAAUGUAUGGUAUAAAAAUGUAUACAUUUCUCUCAGGCCGCAAGUGACAUCUGCCAAACUUAAUUAGAAUCUAGAUUGCAGAAAAUAUGACUUCUGUAACAGAAUCAUCAGUGCUUGGAAUACUUUACCUGACUCUGUGGUCUCUUCCCAUAAUCCUAAAAGCUUUAACCAAAAACUUUCUACUAUUGACCUCACCCCAUUCCUAAGAGGACCAUAAGGGGCGUCCAUAAGCGCACAAACGUGCCUACCAUUCCUGUCCUAUUGUUUUUCUUUUCUUCUUCCUAUAUAUAUGCUUAUACCUCCUUAUAUUUACUCAUAUAUGUGUUUAUAUACUAUAUAAUUUUUUUGUAUGAUACCUACAUAUAUUGUUGUGACAAAAUAAAAUAAAUAAAAAAU